UGAUCUACCCAUGGCCAGUGUGAAGCAGAGGUAAGACUCUGUGGAGGCGCGAACCCACUUAGGUUGAAAACUGAGGGGAUGAGUUGUGGGUAGGGGUGAAAGGCCAAUCAAACUCCGUGAUAGCUGGUUCUCCCCGAAAUGCAUUAGGUGCAGCGUCGUGUGUUUCCUCCUGGAGGUAGAGCUACUGGUUGGUUUAGCGGGACUAUCAUCUUAGCGACAUCAGCCAAACUCCGAAUGCCGGUGGAGGUCAGAGCACGGCAGUGAGACUGCGGGGAUAAGCUUCGUAGUCGAGAGGGAAACAGCCCAGAUCGCCGGCUAAGGCCCUAAGGGUGUGCUAAGUGGAAAAGGAUGUGGGAUCGCGAAGACAACCAGGAGGUUGGCUUAGAAGCAGCCAUCCUUGAAAGAGUGCGUAAUAGCUCACUGGUCGAGUGGUUCUGCGCCGACAAUGUAGUGGGGCUCAAGUACACCGCCGAAGCCGCGGCAAUCACCAUUUUGUGGUGGUUGGGUAGGGGAGCGUCGCGUUACUGCUGUGAAGCGCUGGGGUAACCCUAGUGUGGAGUGUGCGCGAGUGAGAAUGCAGGCAUGAGUAGCGAAUGAGGAGUGGAAAACUCCUCCGCCGAAUGACUAAGGGUUCCUGGGCCAGGUUAAUCCUCCCAGGGUGAGUCGGGACCUAAGGCGAGGCCGACAGGCGUAGUCGAUGGAUAACGGGUUGAUAUUCCCGUACCCGUGUGUCCGCGCCCAUGGUGAAUCAGGGAUACUAACCCACCUGAACAUGCGCCUUGUGCCAGCCUUUUAGGUUGGUUGGUGUGUGUGAUGCUGGGGACCUGAACUGGUAGUAGCCAAGUGAUGGGGUGACGCAGGAAGGUAGCCGUGCCACGUGAUGGAUAUCGUGGUGUAAGCGUGUGGCCCGUGUUCUAGGUAAAUCCGGAGCACAUUAAAGGGUGAGGCGUGAUGCGUACCCGUUUUUGGGGAAGUUGGUGAUCCUAUGCUGCCGAGAAAAGCCUCUAGCGAUGUGGAUAUACGGCCCGUACCCGAAACCGACACAGGUAGUCAGGUAGAGAAUACUAAGGCGAUCGGGAGAACUGUGGUUAAGGAACUCGGCAAAAUGCCCCCGUAACUUCGGGAGAAGGGGGGCCAUGACUGGUGACCGACGUGGUUGAGCUGGUUGUGGCCGCAGAGAAUAGAGGGAAGCGACUGUUUACUAAAAACACAGGUCCGUGCGAAGACGGUGAAGUCGAUGUAUACGGACUGACGCCUGCCCGGUGCUGGAAGGUUAAGAGGACCUGUUAGAUCCCUUUUGUGGGUCGAAGCGGAGAAUUUAAGCCCCAGUAAACGGCGGUGGUAACUAUAACCAUCCUAAGGUAGCGAAAUUCCUUGUCGGGUAAGUUCCGACCUGCACGAAUGGCGUAACGACUUCCCUGCUGUCUCAACCACAGACCCGGCGAAAUUGCAGUACGAGUAAAGAUGCUCGUUACGCGCGGCAGGACGAAAAGACCCCGGGACCUUCACUAUAGCUUGGUAUUGGUGUUCGGUUCGGUUUGUGUAGGAUAGGUGGGAGACUGUGAUGCCUCAACGCCAGUUGGGGUGGAGUCGUUGUUGAAAUACCACUCUGAUCGUAUUGGACAUCUCAACCUCGGCCCGUGAUCCGGGUUAGGGACAGUGCCUGGUGGGUAGUUUAACUGGGGCGGUUGCCUCCCAAAGAGUAACGGAGGCGCCCAAAGGUUCCCUCAGCCUGGUUGGCAAUCAGGUGUUGAGUGUAAGUGCACAAGGGAGCUUGACUGUGAGACUGACAGGUCGAGCAGGUAGGAAACUAGGGACUAGUGAUCCGGCACCGGCUUGUGGAAGCGGUGUCGCUCAACGGAUAAAAGGUACCCCGGGGAUAACAGGCUGAUCUUCCCCAAGAGUCCAUAUCGACGGGAUGGUUUGGCACCUCGAUGUCGGCUCGUCGCAUCCUGGGGCUGGAGUAGGUCCCAAGGGUUGGGCUGUUCGCCCAUUAAAGCGGCACGCGAGCUGGGUUUAGAACGUCGUGAGACAGUUCGGUCUCUAUCCGCCGCGCGCGUAGAAACUUGAGGAAGGCUGUCCCUAGUACGAGAGGACCGGGAUGGACGUACCUCUGGUGUGCCAGUUGUCCCGCCUGGGGCAUGGCUGGUUGGCUACGUACGGAAGGGAUAACCGCUGAAAGCAUCUAAGCGGGAAGCCUGUUCCAAGAUUAGGUUUCUUUUGAGGUCCCCUAUAGAUGAUGGGGUUGAUAGGCCGGAUCUGGAAGCAUCGUAAGGUGUGGAGGUGACCGGUACUAAUAGACCAAACAUUCAACACA
rnacentral:rRNA from 1 species